rnacentral:rRNA from 1 species
UACGUAGGGGGCCAGCGUUGUCCGGAAUCAUUGGGCGUAAAGCGCGUGUAGGCGGCCAGAAAAGUCCGCUGUGAAAACUCGAGGCUCAACUUCGAGCUGUCGGUGGAAACUUUCUGGCUAGAGUCCGGAAGAGGAGAAUGGAAUUCCUGGUGUAGCGGUGAAAUGCGCAGAUAUCAGGAAGAACACCCGUGGCGAAGGCGGUUCUCUGGGACGGUACUGACGCUGAGACGCGAAAGCGUGGGGAGCGAACAGG